AAGUCGUAACAAGGUUUCCGUAGGUGAACCUGCGGAAGGAUCAUUGCGAAUAUUGUUGUGGGUUGGUUUGGACGAGGCAAGGAAAAGGUUAAACUUUCCUGGUCUUGUCCGGCUGGCCACAUGUGCACAGCGGCAGCCCCGUGCUGCUGCUGAUGUCUACGCUUGUUUGUUUGACAGAUCGAUAGGACGAAAUAUAGACAACUUUUAACAACGGAUCUCUUGGCUCUU
rnacentral:misc_RNA from 1 species